rnacentral:rRNA from 1 species
CUGAUCCCUUCCCGAACUCAGAAGUGAAACGACGCAUCGCCGAUGGUAGUGUGGGGUCUCCCCAUGUGAGAGUAGGUCAUCGUCAAGC